rnacentral:sRNA from 1 species
UGAGCAAUAAGUGGAUGAAAAACCAAUUUUAUUUCUGCUUGCAGAAAAAUAAAAUUGGUUUUGAAGACACAAUGGACAUGAGGAAGUAGCACGAUAGUGCGGAUUCCGAAUGGCCGUAGGAUUGCGAGAGCGAAGCGGAGCAAUCCGUAUUGCUCA